UUGGGAGGGCCUCCACCAUAAUUGGCGGG
rnacentral:sRNA from 1 species